AUUGAACGCUAGCGGGAUGCUUUACACAUGCAAGUCGAACGAGUGGCGGACGGGUGAGUAAUAUAUCGGAACGUGCCCAGUAGCGGGGGAUAACUACUCGAAAGAGUGGCUAAUCCCGCAUACUAUUGGAGCGGCCGAUAUGGGAUUAGCUAGUUGGUGGGGUAAAGGCUCACCAAGGCGACGAUCCGUAGCUGGUUUGAGAGGACGAGCAGCCACACUGGGACUGAGACACGGCCCAGACUCCUCAGGGAGGCAGCGGUGGGGAAUUUUGGAGAAGGGGGGAAACCCUGAUCCAGCCAUGCCGCGUGUAUGAGAAGGCCUUCGGGUUGUAAAGUACUUUUGGCAGAGAAGUGGUAGCUGCAGAAUAAGCACCGGCUAACUACGUGCCAGCAGCCGCGGUAAUUC
rnacentral:rRNA from 1 species